rnacentral:rRNA from 1 species
UUGGAGGGCAAGUCUGGUGCCAGCAGCCGCGGUAAUUCCAGCUCCAAUAGCGUAUAUUAAAGUUGUUGCAGUUAAAAAGCUCGUAGUUGAAUUUCGGGGUUAGUAGGUUGGUCAUGCCUCUGGUAUGUACUGGUCUCACUGAUUCCUCCUUCCUGAUGAGCCGUAAUGCCAUUAAUUUGGUGUUGCGGGGAAUUUGGACUGUUACUUUGAAAAAAUUAGAGUGUUUAAAGCAAGCUAACGCUUGAAUACAUUAGCAUGGAAUAAUGAAAUAGGACGUUCGAUCCUAUUUUGUUGGUUUCUAGGAUUGACGUAAUGAUUAAUAGGGAUAGUUGGGGGCAUUAGUAUUCAAUUGUCAGAGGUGAAAUUCUUGGAUUUAUUGAAGGCUAACUACUGCGAAAGCAUUUGCCAAGGAUGUUUUCAUUAAUCAAGAACGAAAGUUAGGGGAUCGAAGACGAUCAGAUACCGUCGUAGUCUUAACCAUAAACUAUGCCGACUAGGGAUCGGAUGAUGUUAAUUUUUUAAUGACUCAUUCGGCGCCUUACGGGAAAC